GAUGAACGCUGGCGGCGUGCCUAAUACAUGCAAGUCGAGCGAACAGACGAGGAGCUUGCUCCUCUGACGUUAGCGGCGGACGGGUGAGUAACACGUGGAUAACCUACCUAUAAGACUGGGAUAACUUCGGGAAACCGGAGCUAAUACCGGAUAAUAUAUUGAACCGCAUGGUUCAAUAGUGAAAGACGGUUUUGCUGUCACUUAUAGAUGGAUCCGCGCCGCAUUAGCUAGUUGGUAAGGUAACGGCUUACCAAGGCAACGAUGCGUAGCCGACCUGAGAGGGUGAUAGGCCACACUGGAACUGAGACACGGUCCAGACUCCUACGGGAGGCAGCAGUAGGAAAUCUUCCGCAAUGGGCGAAAGCCUGACGGAGCAACGCCGCGUGAGUGAUGAAGGUCUUCUGAUCGUAAAACUCUGUUAUUAGGGAAGAACAAAUGUGUAAGUAACUAUGCACGUCUUGACGGUACCUAAUCAGAAAGGCACGGCUAACUACGUG
rnacentral:rRNA from 1 species